rnacentral:rRNA from 1 species
UAACGUCCGUCGUGAAGAGGGAAACAACCCAGACCGCCAGCUAAGGUCCCAAAGUCAUGGUUAAGUGGGAAACGAUGUGGGAAGGCCCAGACAGCCAGGAUGUUGGCUUAGAAGCAGCCAUCAUUUAAAGAAAGCGUAAUAGCUCACUGGUCGAGUCGGCCUGCGCGGAAGAUGUAACGGGGCUAAACCAUGCACCGAAGCUGCGGCAGCGACGCUUAUGCGUUGUUGGGUAGGGGAGCGUUCUGUAAGCCUGUGAAGGUGUGCUGUGAGGCAUGCUGGAGGUAUCAGAAGUGCGAAUGCUGACAUAAGUAACGAUAAAGCGGGUGAAAAGCCCGCUCGCCGGAAGACCAAGGGUUCCUGUCCAACGUUAAUCGGGGCAGGGUGAGUCGACCCCUAAGGCGAGGCCGAAAGGCGUAGUCGAUGGGAAACAGGUUAAUAUUCCUGUACUUGGUGUUACUGCGAAGGGGGGACGGAGAAGGCUAUGUUGGCCGGGCGACGGUUGUCCCGGUUUAAGCGUGUAGGCUGGUUUUCCAGGCAAAUCCGGAAAAUCAAGGCUGAGGCGUGAUGACGAGGCACUACGGUGCUGAAGCAACAAAUGCCCUG